rnacentral:rRNA from 1 species
ACCAAGUCUACGAUCUAUAGCUGGUUUUAGAGGAUGAUCAGCAACACUGGGACUGAGACACGGCCCAGACUCCUACGGGAGGCAGCAGUGGGGAAUCUUAGACAAUGGGCGCAAGCCUGAUCUAGCCAUGCCGCGUGUGUGAUGAAGGUCUUAGGAUCGUAAAGCACUUUUCGCCAGGGAUGAUAAUGACAGUACCU